rnacentral:rRNA from 1 species
UACGAAGGGGGCUAGCGUUGUUCGGAAUUACUGGGCGUAAAGGGCGCGUAGGCGGUCCCUCAAGUCAGGCGUGAAAGCCCCGGGCUCAACCUGGGAACCGCGCUUGAGACUGAUGGGCUAGAGUUCGGGAGAGGAUGGUGGAAUUCCCAGUGUAGAGGUGAAAUUCGUAGAUAUUGGGAAGAACACCGAUGGCGAUGGCAGCCAUCUGGACCGACACUGACGCUGAGGCGCGAAAGCGUGGGGAGCAAACAGG